rnacentral:rRNA from 1 species
UCGAGAUGAGAUUUCCCAACUUCGGUUAUAAGAUCCCUCAAAGAUGAUGAGGUGAAUAGGUUCGAGGUGGAAGCGUAGCGAUACGUGGAGCUGACGAAUACUAAUCGAUCGAAGACUUAAUCAA